rnacentral:rRNA from 1 species
ACGCAAGUGUGAAACUUGUUGGAAUUGACGGAAGGGCACCACAAGAACGCGUGGAGCAUGUGGCUUAAUUUGACCCAACGCGGGAAAUCUUACCGGGUCCGGACACACUGAGGAUUGACAGGCACUAUUAAAAAUGGAGUCUCGCAUUUAUUUGCGUGUUCUUCUUUUUAUGUCAAAUAUGCUAGUCCUUUCAUGAUUAUGUGAUAGGUGGUGCAUGGCCGUUCUUAGUUCGUGGAGUGAGCUGUCUGCUUAAUUGCGUUUCACUAAGAGUUCUAAACUUAAUGUGUAUUGCAGCGGCUUCAUUGACCCCUGUCAAUUUAUUGGCGGUGUUGUUGUCUUUGUUUCUUGUCUGCUUACACUACUGAGCUCUGAAAGCAACGAACGUGAUUG